rnacentral:rRNA from 1 species
UACGUAGGGGGCAAGCGUUGUCCGGAAUCAUUGGGCGUAAAGAGCGCGUAGGCGGCCCUGUAAGUCCGCUGUGAAAGUCAAGGGCUCAACCCUUGAAUGCCGGUGGAUACUGUCGGGCUAGAGUCCGGAAGAGGCGAGUGGAACUGCGAGUGUAGAGGUGAAAUUCGUAGAUAUUCGCAAGAACACCAGUGGCGAAGGCGGCUCACUGGCCCGGAACUGACGCUGAGGUGCGAAAGCGUGGGGAGCAAACAGG